CUGUCCCUGGAGCCUCCAUCUCAUCACAAGAACAUUGCUGUACGCGCUUUGAAGAUAGCCAUCAGGAAACACCAACAGCAGCCAACAGUGGACUACCAAAGAAUCAGUGCACUGUUUCACAGUCUGAUACAGAUGGCCUUGAACUCUGUCUCCGACAACACCAAACAGGAGGCCCUUGGUUACUACGGGGAGGUUGUAGAUCUCAUUGACAAAAAAGCUCAGAAAGAUUACCCUGAGAUAGAGACACAAUGGCUGAUGGUGAAAGCCUGGAAUUGUGGUAUUACAUUCUUCAGCUCAGGGCGUUAUGAGCUGGCAGAGAAGUGGUGCAGUACAGGGAUGAGCCUCCUGAAAUACCUGACCCCCGGCAUGCAGAGUAAUUACAGCGAGAGGAUGACAAACACAUAUGCUGACAUCUUGGAUCAAAUGGACAAGAGGAAAAUCAAAAAGUCAAAGAAAGGCCUUGAGGAGUAAGGGCUUUAUGAACAAAAGCUUACUGCCUCCAACCUCCUCGUCAUAGACCUUAAAAUUCCUUUGAUGUAUGCCUCAACCUUAGAAUAUGACAUGCACUUGGUUUAGUGUUUUAAAUGUUUUAUUUUGGAAAUCAUGGUCAUGAUUUUUCUUUUUCAAAUAAAUACAUGUAUCAUCAAAUUU
rnacentral:misc_RNA from 1 species